rnacentral:tRNA from 1 species
GCCUGGGAGGCCCCCCUGGUGGGGGUGCCGGGCUGUUACCCUGACCGUGGAAGGUUCGAGUCCUUCUCCAGGCG